AGAGUUUGAUCAUGGCUCAGGAUUAACGCUAGCGGCAGGCCUAAUACAUGCAAGUCGAGGGGCAGCGGGAGUAGCAAUACUUGCCGGCGACCGGCGCACGGGUGCGUAACGCGUAUGCAACCUACCUAUAACUGGGGAAUAGCCUUCUGAAAGGAAGAUUAACACCGCAUAACAUCACGAGACGGCAUCGUCUUGUGAUCAAAUCUCCGGAGGUUAUAGAUGGGCAUGCGUGACAUUAGCUAGUUGGUGAGGUAACGGCUCACCAAGGCGACGAUGUCUAGGGGGUCUGAGAGGAUGAUCCCCCACACUGGUACUGAGACACGGACCAGACUCCUACGGGAGGCAGCAGUAAGGAAUAUUGGACAAUGGGCGCAAGCCUGAUCCAGCCAUGCCGCGUGAAGGAUGACGGCCCUCUGGGUUGUAAACUUCUUUUAUACGGGAAUAAACCCCCUGAUUCUUCAGGGGUUGAAUGUACCGUAAGAAUAAGGAUCGGCUAACUUCGUGCCAGCAGCCGCGGUAAUACGAAGGAUCCAAGCGUUAUCCGGAUUUAUUGGGUUUAAAGGGUGCGUAGGCGGACUAUUAAGUCAGUGGUGAAAGCCUGCAGCUUAACUGCAGAAUUGCCAUUGAUACUGAUGGUCUUGAGUACAUUUGAGGUGGGCGGAAUGUGUCAUGUAGUGGUGAAAUACUUAGAUAUGACACAGAACUCCGAUUGCGAAGGCAGCUCACUAAACUGUCACUGACGCUGAGGCACGAAAGCGUGGGGAUCAAACAGGAUUAGAUACCCUAGUAGUCC
rnacentral:rRNA from 1 species